UACGUAGGGGGCUAGCGUUGUCCGGAUUUAUUGGGCGUAAAGAGCGUGUAGGCGGCCAGGUAGGUCUGGUGUGAAAACUCGAGGCUUAACCUCGAGAUGUCAUCGGAAACCAUCUGGCUAGAGUCCGGAAGAGGAGAGUGGAAUUCCUGGUGUAGCGGUGAAAUGCGCAGAUAUCAGGAAGAACACCAAUAGCGAAGGCGGAUCUCUGGGCCAUUACUGACGCUGAGGAGCGAAAGCGUGGGGAGCGAACAGG
rnacentral:rRNA from 1 species